CUACUUACCUGGCAGGGGAGAUACCACGAUCACAACGGUGGUUUUCCCAGGGCGAGACUUAGCCAUUGCACUAUGGAUGUGCUGACCCCUGCGAUUUCCCCAAAUGUGGGAAAACUCGACUGCAUAAUUUGUGGUAGCGGGGGACUGCGUUCAUGCUUUCCUCUG
rnacentral:snRNA from 1 species